rnacentral:tRNA from 1 species
CAAGUUAUGUUCUAGGAAUAGUAUUAUUUACAUUAAUAUUUUGAUUGUGCAAUUCAAUCUGACUUGA